UGGAAGCGUCUGUUAAUUGUUAGUCGUCACUUGCGUCAACUACGUCAUAACAGAAAUAUUUUCAUUGCUGCACACCACACCGAAUCAAUCCAUCACAGAAGGAAAGGUACAAGUAGGUUAAUCAGUCGCCGUGGUUUUUACCAAAGGCAUACGAUUAAUUUGACAUUGUGUGCAUGCAGGUAUUUUAAUUUGUGUAGUGAUUGGAAGACUUGUGCUCAUAUCUUCUCUUACAAGGCUGUGGCAAAAAAAUUAUUCGAAAAUCUAUAUAUACAGUACCUACCAACGAAAUUGGUACACUGUACCAAUUUCGUCCGCUUUUAACACGGCGUCUUAUGGCGCUACGUGUCACUUGUUUUUAUUUAAUAUUAAAAAAACUAUUUGUUUUUUUAUUAAACUUUUUUUAGGGUAGGGUGAUGACCAGAUUAGUUACAGAAUGUGGGGGUCGGCUUUAUGAUAUUUUUAUUUCCCUAACCCCUGUACAUGGGAGCAGGUGUACCAAUUUCGCCGAGCGAAAUUUUUUGCGUUCUCCGUGUAUUCCUUAUGGCGCUACGAAAAAAAGGGCCCUUUUUUCUAAAAUUUUUUAAAAAUCACCCUUUGAAGUUCCAACCCUCUAGUUUUUACCAAUAAGUAUAAGAAAACCCUAACUAUAGUAUCAUUAAUCAAAUUUAUUAUUUCUUAAAAUAUAUAUCUGCUAAAUAUUAGAAUGAAAAAUGGGUGUGGGAAUUUUUAUCCAUAAAAAGCUUAGUCACUUGCAUAGCCACCAGAGGUUCUGCUUGUUGUCUAGGCUUUUAAGUAUUUUUAAAAUCGAUUAUUUAAUCGAUUUUAUUUGUUUCUGUUUACAUCAACACUUGUUCAUUUUUAUUAUUGAAUAACAAUUACAAAUGACUGUGUAUUUCAAUAAUUCAAAGGAAAUGAUUUUAUAUCAUGGUAAGUUUUGUUGUUACUGUUAUUGUCCAAAAUAUUUUAAUAUUUAUAUCCUUUUUUUCAUUUCAUGGUCAAACUCAUGUGAGUUGAUUGAUUGGAAAGUUAAGUCACAUUCAUUAUUAUUGGACAACACCAAUAUUAUCAUCAGAAGUGGUCAGGUGUCACAAGUCGACAAAAAAUUUCUUAGCUAUACAUUCAACUUUCAAUUUCUCUACCAGAUACUAUAAUUAUUUUACUUCUCAAUAUUACCUUAUUGUUUACAUUAAUUUAAAUUUCUAAUACAAAUUAUAUCAUACCAAACAAAAGACUGUAUUUUCAAAGAGACUAAUACAGCUAUUACAGUUUAAA